GCCUUCAUGAAGUCGGAAUUGCUAGUAAUGGCAGGUCAGCAUACUGCCGUGAAUACGUUCCCGGGCCUUGUACACACCGCCCGUCACACCAUGAGAGUUGGAGAUACCCGAAGCCUAUGAGCUAACUUUUAGAGGCAGUAGUCGAAGGUAGAAUCAAUGAUUGGGGUGAAGUCGUAACAAGGUACC
rnacentral:rRNA from 1 species